rnacentral:rRNA from 1 species
UGAGGAAUCUUCCACAAUGGGCGAAAGCCUGAUGGAGCAACGCCGCGUGCAGGAUGAAGGCCUUCGGGUUGUAAACUGCUUUUAUAAGUGAAGAAUAUGACGGUAACUUAUGAAUAAGCACCGGCUAACUACGUGCCAGCAGCCGCGGUCAUACGUAGGGUGCAAGCAUUAUCCGGAGUGACUGGGCGUAAAGAGUUGCGUAGGUGGUUUGUUAAGCGAGUAGUGAAAUCAGACGGCUCAACCGUACUGGCUAUUACUCGAACUGGCAAACUCGAGAAUGGUAGAGGUAACUGGAAUUUCUUGUGUAGGAGUGAAAUCCGUAGAUAUAAGAAGGAACACCAAUGGCGUAGGCAGGUUACUGGACUAUUUCUGACACUAAGGCACGAAAGCGUGGGGAGCGAAC